GGGGGCGAUCUGGUUUCGACGGGGAUAUUUGGCAGGGUAGGGCUGCAUGCCGGGGACCCGUACCCCGUUAUCAAAUGGGACAAGCAUUAAAUGCCAACUACGACUUGGCUCUGGCUGCCUAACUAACAGGCAUCCCGUCUGCCGCAUGAUCCCUGCCUGUGGAGCUGCGGCGGGCGUCGCAAAUACAGGCUGGCUCCAGCAAGCGCCGGAAUUGUAAGGAGCGAGAUUUAAUCCGGCUGGCCGGGCGGUGGCUUUGUCGGUGUAGCAGCCGUCCGGCGAGAUCAAAUCACCGGCUAUGCAUGUAGAUGCCGUAUCAGGCUUAUCUUCGGACGUGGGUUCGAUUCCCACCGCCUCCACCA
rnacentral:tmRNA from 1 species